UGCUGGUGGUCCAUGGCAGAAAAAGAAAGAGAGGGAACCCAUGAGUUGGGCACUCCUUGUCUUGCCCUAUUUGGAUUUUCCUUGACUAGGUAUUUGACCUAGACAAGGAUUCUUCAUAUCUCUUUAUUUAAGACGAAUUUUUUUUUAAAAUUUUUGUAGACUAUAGAGCAUUCAGAGACUUUUGGGGCGUGUGAAAAUCAAAGAGAAAGAGUGUUGGGACGUAGACAUAUAAUAAACACAAAAUUAAGUGUCUAGGUGAGAGCAAAGAGAAGAAGAAGAGGGUCUUCUUCUAGGGUUGCUGAGUUCACCUCUUUCCUUUCUCCAUCUAUGAGUUUUCUGAGAGUGUCUCACAUCUAAAACUCCUUCUCCUACUUCUCAUCUUUGGAAGAGUCCAAAUCAAGAAGAAAGAGGUAUCUGAUCGACCAUCGAAGAAGAAUCAGCAUAGUACUAGCAUACUAUGCUGAUUUCCUAGAUCAGAACUUCUGAUCGUGAUUCGUGAGCUCUUGUGGAUGACUCCUAGAGAUCGAACGCGUGUGCGGCUCAUAACAUCAUCCUCAAGUCCGGAUCAGCAAAGUUAGAACGUCUAACUUGCAUGGUAAUAGAUAUGAUUUAUUAUAUUUUACAUACAUUAGAUGUAGUAUAGAAAUAUGUUGAUAUGAUCAAUAUGUAGUUCUUGCUCUUUAUAUUUUAAUUUCUGAUUUAAUACCAUGUAAUAAGCAUAUCAUAGGAUCUUAGAUCUAGGGAUUCUCUGAUUUUAAUAAGAUAAAUUUUGAUUUCUUUUAGUCUUCCGCUGCCUGAUCUUGAAAAAAUUUUAAGAUCUAAUCCUGAAACCCUAGAUCUGGUUUCUUCAUAAGGUUAUGAAUCAUAUUAAUUAAGGGUGCAAGUCCCUAAUUAAUUUUUUUGAUAGUUAUUUUUGGACGCCACCUUGAUUUGAUCAAGUUGGACAUAUCCAUUGAUUAGAGGGCUUUUAGUUCUCUUAUGAAAUGUCUCUUGGGUGUAUUUUGAGGUGUCUAAUUAUAGAUACAAGAACUCCAAUUGUUGGUACCUAAAGGAUCUCCUAAAGUAAGUUGAAUAACUUAAGUUAAUAGAAAAUCCAAUACAAGUAGGACUUUUAUUAUGUGAUUGAAUAGGAUUCAAUCCUUAUGCCUAUUUAAAGGAACCUCUCCUAAGGUCUUUAGAACAUCCAAACCAGCAACCUCUCAUGCCCAAAGGCUCUCCCCACGCCCUCUCUUCCUCUCCCUUUCUCUUCUCUUGGGCGUUCUACAUGCUCACCCUUUGGGAUGCGAGUCCCAAGGAGUUCCAUGCCCAAGGUGUUGGGCGUCCUACAAUUUGCUGGUUGCUGAUGUUUUGUAGUAGCACAAAGCAAGGAAAAACUCUAAAGAAGAGAAGAAGAAGAAGAUCAAGGAGAAAGAUCAAGCGUUGAUCAUAAUCCAAGCUUCGUUCAGAUUCAGCAGACUGAAUUUUGGAGAAUCAAAAUUUAGAUUAAAGAAGACUGUUCCAGACUGAUCCCAAGUAGAUACUCAUGGAGGCUGGAUACUUGUACAGCUAAGAGAGAACUUCUUCUCUUUCAGAUCCAGAUUUGAAGAAAAAGAUUGCGAAAUAGGUAUGUGAUUUGAUCACGAUCUGAAUUUCAACAUAUAUCAAUUUCAACAUAUGAGACAGAUCCAUGUGAUUUUAUAUUUUUAUGCAUACAUAAUUUAGAUUAAAAGUAUUUUAAUCUUAUUCUCUGCUGUAGUGUUAGAAAAUAAAAUUUUUGAAAUACAUGUGCAUGCACCAAAUUCCGAAUUCCAACGGUGAUAUCAGAGCCACAGAUUUUUAUAUGCUGAAUUUUGAUAUACAUAUUUUUGAAAAGAUUUCAAAAUCAAAUUUUUCUUUGAUACAUAAGAUAUAUAGAUGGAUCUUCUAAUCUAAAAUUUAAUUUUACGUUUAAUUUUAGAACAUAUAGUUG
rnacentral:lncRNA from 1 species